UAUAGACCAACACAUCCUAUUCAAAAUAAAAAUCAUCCAACAGUCUCAUCGUACUUCUUUACUCGUCUUCUUUUAUCUUUACUACCAUUUUACCACCACUACAACAUUCGUAGCGAUUCUGACGUGCAAAUCGAUCGUCAAAUUUGAGUAUAGGGGCGAAAGACUAAUCGAACCAUCUAGUAGCUGGUUCCUGCCGAAGUUUCCCUCAGGAUAGCAGAAACUCACAAAGCAGUUUUAUGGGGUAAAGCGAAUGAUUAGAGGCCUUGGGGGCGAAAUGCCCUUAACCUAUUCUCAAACUUUAAAUAUGUAAGACGCCCUUCUUUCUUAGCUGAAGUUGGGCCUUUGAAUGCAGAGUUUCUAGUGGGCCAUUAGAGGAACUUAUGUCCCACUAGUGAUCCAACCUAUAUCUCCCACCUAACAAAGAGAGAAUCAUAUCUCCUAUAAACACACUUGUACACAAUCAUCGUAUUCCCUAACAAAUGGAUAACACAUUAGUAUAAAUAGAUCUUCUAUUUCACAAUCACUAAUAAAGGUAUCCAACAGUCUCAUCAUAUUUUACACAGUCUUUUAUUUCAACAAUCUACACCAAAUACAACAUUUUUUAUGAUGGUAUCAGUACUAUCGAACAUUUCUUUUGGUUCCCAUGUAUCAGCGUCAGAGUCGUAGCCCUUCCACCGUACUUUGUAUUGGUAGUUCCCUGGUGAUAAAGAAUAAGUAUGAAGUUAAUAAAGAAGAAGGAUUCAUUACAUUGGCAAACUGAAUCAUAGACAAAUAAAAGAUAGCAUCUAUCACAAGUCAUAAACAUGCACACAAAGUCAAACAUAAACACUAGCAGAGAUACAAAGAGGAACUUAUGUCCCACUAGUGAUCCAACCUAUAUCUCCCACCUAACAAAGAGAGAAUCAUAUCUCCUAUAAACACACUUGUACACAAUCAUCGUAUUCCCUAACAAAUGGAUAACACAUUAGUAUAAAUAGAUCUUCUAUUUCACAAUCACUAAUAAAGGUAUCCAACAGUCUCAUCAUAUUUUACACAGUCUUUUAUUUCAACAAUCUACACCAAAUACAACAUUAUAAAGAAGCGUCGCCUAAGAAGAAAAGCUUUGGUGAAUGUUGGUAUUGUGAAAAGCCAUGGAGCCAUGGUCACCGCUGUAAAGAAUACCUGGAGCGCACCCCGAAGC
rnacentral:ncRNA from 1 species